AGCUUUGCGCAGUGGCAGUAUCGUAGCCAAUGAGGUUUAUCUGAGGCGUGAUUAUUGCUAAUUGAAAACUUCCCAAUACCCCGCUGUGACGACUUGCAAUACAGUCACUGGCAAUUUUUGACAGUCUCUAUGGAGA
ensembl:snRNA U4 U4 spliceosomal RNA